rnacentral:lncRNA from 13 species
AAAAGCCUUGCUGUUGCUGGCGGUGUAAUUUUAUUAUAGCAGGCCGUUUCAAGUUGUACUCAUCCUCCCCCUUACAACAAUCUGAUCUAAAAUCCAUGUUGUGGCCCUGCUACACUGAUCUUGCUGCAAUGUCAAAUUCCUUUCCACCCACAAAGCAUGUCCCUGAUACUGAAUAAAAUAAGUUUAUGUACUUUGUUAUAUAUCAAUGUUAAUCUCACCAAUCCUUGAGAGUAGACUUUUUUAAAAUGACAAAUAUAACACAUUAAGCUAUCCUUUAACAUUAUUUUGGUCCCUUACCCUGCAAAAAUGUCCUGAAGUCUUCAAAUUAUUUCAAGUGUGUACAUAAACAAUGAAUCAGCUUCAAAUGGGGAGGGGGGGGUAGAUCUUUUUUUCCCCCGCUCUUCAGAAUCCUGUUCACGUUGGUUUUGAUAAUAAUGUAGCUGCCUGGACCAAAACAACGACUGCGGCUGCCCAGACGGGUCAAUAGCAAACUCCCAGAGUCAGCAGUCCGUAAUAAAUUCUAUGCCAGCAAAGCCUUUAGCAAUUUAUUACAGAGAUGCAGUACAAGGCAAGGGCUGUCCAACUGGAGCUUGUUAAUUACAAUAAAUCUUUAGGGUUUUUCCUCAGCUUUGGUUGCANNNNNNNNNNCCCCCCCCCCCCCCCAUACCACUCAACACCACAACCUUCAAGGCUUCUGGCAAGAAACCCCAAUCUUCACUCAGUCUCACUGCUGCUUGACAGUCAGGCAGGCAGUCACGUUCUCACACACCCGUACUCACAACUACAAGAAAAGAAAACUUGCUCCCUGACACCAUUCAGUCCACAGCAACACUGGUACCAGACCGCCUUUGCUCCCCCCGCUUUGCACACAGGCCGGUCAACCAAGUCAGACAUUCGCAGUGCACACAUGCUUACCUCAGAAACAUCAUGCACCAACCACACAUUCAAAUCAUUCAUUCGUUAA